rnacentral:snRNA from 1 species
GUGCUCGCUUCGGCAGCACAUAUACUAAAAUUGGAACGAUACAGAGAAAAUGAGCAUGG